rnacentral:tRNA from 1 species
GGGUAGAGCUCAGUGGUAGAGCGCGUGCUCAGCAUGCAUGAGGUCCUGGGUUCAAUCCCCAGUAUCUCCU